GCGCCCAUAGCUCAGCUGGUAGAGCAGCCGACUCUUAAUCGGCUUGUCCAGGGUUCGAUCCCCUGUGGGCGUACCA
rnacentral:tRNA from 1 species